rnacentral:rRNA from 1 species
GAGAGGGAGCCUGAGAAACGGCUACCACAUCUAAGGAAGGCAGCAGGCGCGUAAAUUACCCACUCCCAGUUCGGGGAGGUAGUGACGAAAAAUAACAAUACAGGACUCAUAUCCGAGGCCCUGUAAUUGGAAUGAGUACACUUUAAAUCCUUUAACAAGGACCAAUUGGAGGGCAAGUCUGGUGCCAGCAGCCGCGGUAAUUCCAGCUCCAAUAGCGUAUAUUAAAGUUGUUGCGGUUAAAACGUUCGUAGUUGAACUUGUGCUUCAUACGGGUAGUACACCUACAAUUGUGGAUUGUACAUUACCUUAUGUAUGCAAGCGUAUUACCGGUGGAGUUCUAAUAUAUAUUGGUACUUGUUACUUUUAUGUAUACCUCCUAUUUAAACCUACUUUAGUGCUCUUCACCGAGUGCUGCUGUGGGCCGGUACAAUUACUUUGAACAAAUUAGAGUGCUUAAAGCAGGCUCCAAAUGCCUGAAUAUUUUGUGCAUGGAAUAAUGAAAUAAGACUUCUGAUCUACUUUCAUUGGUUUUUAGAUCAAGAGGUAAUGAUUAAUAGAAGCAGUUUGGGGGCAUUAGUAUUACGACGCGAGAGGUGAAAUUCUUGGACCGUCGUAAGACUAACUUAAGCGAAAGCAUUUGCCAAAGAUGUUUUCAUUAAUCAAGAACGAAAGUUAGAGGU